AACGAACGCUGGCGGCAUGCCUAACACAUGCAAGUCGAACGAGAGCUCCGGGACUAGUGGCGCACGGGUGCGUAACGCGUGGGAACGGGCCCUUAGGUUCGGAAUAACUCCCCGAAGGGGGUGCUAAUACCGGAUAAUGUACUCGGACACAAGAUUCGUCGCCCUUGUAUGGGCCCGCGUUGGCUUCGCUGGUCGGUAGGGUAAAAGCCGACCACGGCGACGAUCGAUAGCUGGUCUGAGAGGCUGGUCCGCCACACUGGGACUGAGACGCGGCGCGGACUCCUGCGGGAGGCAGCAGUGGGGGAUCUUGGACAAUCGCGUAAGGCAUGAUCCAGCUCUGCCGCGUGAGUGAUGAAGGUCUUAGGGUUGUAAAGCUCUUUUACCCGGGAUGAUAAUGACGGUACCGGGAGAAUAAGCACCGGCUAACUUCGUG
rnacentral:rRNA from 1 species